rnacentral:lncRNA from 1 species
GCUUGACUUUUCAAAUGGUCACAUAACACCUAGCCUUUUCACACUCUGUCAGAGUGUGUAGUUUUGUUACUUUGUAGUCUCUUGUAUAAAGCUCGUGCGCUCGGGCACCACACCUUGGCACUGUUUCAAUUACUCUUUUAUCAAUAUAGGCUUCUGAUUUCAUUACUUUCUCGGAGAUAACAAACGCAACGCAGAAAACUAAACAAUAUGAUCGUCGUACCCAGUGCACAAGGCUCCCGCUUUACGCAGGGUCUGGGAGAGGUGAAUGUCGGCUAGCCUUACCCCCAUUUAUGGAGAGGCUGCUCCUAAGGCAGAAAACUAAACAAUAGAAAACAUAUAAUGAUAGAACCUUCAACAAUUGAAAUCAGCCCCCGCUCGAAAGUGAAAUGAAGAAACAGCUUAACAGAGUCACAUACAUACAUCAGCAUAAACACAAAACAACAAGUAAGCUGUAACAUUAACCCACAAAAGCUCGAACUCCCAGCUUCAAAGUCUUCAACUUUACCCCGAAACACAAUAUCAAAACCGAAAAAACUCGAGGGAACCAAUUGAAACACGAAACGAAAUUAAUUAUACGCAUCAAAUCAUUGAUCACACUCGAAUCACCACAAAUGCUACUUGCACAUUCCGAGCUAAACUGAUCAAAGUGGAACAAAGCUACAAGUCUUAGGCUGUAAGCUAACUAGCAAUCCGAAACACACCAGAAAUUCCCAUUAAAACGGAAAAAAAAAAAAAAACCCGAAAUCCAGUGAUCAAACAAGGUCAAACCCGAUGCGUCAAAACAUUCAAAUUUUCCUUCCGUCUUUCCUACGUUUUCUCGGCAACCAAACAGAACAUUGCACUAUAGGCGCUCUCUCGAACGGAGAGGAGGAUCGAAAUCGAACCUCUGAGAAUUUCGCAAUUGAAAAAAAAAAAUUGGGGGAAAUAGUGGAAAGAAAAGAGGGGAGGACGAGAAUACCU